GAGCUGGAGGCGCCUAACUGGCUUGCAGUGGGAGAGACUGGGCAGCGGGGAAGAGCGGGUGGAGGGGCGUGCAGGGAGGGAGGCCGGGGAGGCCGGGGCUCCUGCACCUGCGGCCGCUCUGCAGCUCUCCUGCAGAGUCGGGGCAACCGCCACCUGGCGCCCCGGGCCUUCCUGUGCUCAGCCCCCCAGCUGCCCGUGAGGGGGCGCGGUACCUCCGAGGCCUGGGGUGUGCUAGUAGAAAUGGAGCUGUCCGGGCACUGCGGGGGCCCCAGGUCACCCCAACCCACUUCCGGUGGCUUCUUUCCAAGUGGCACAGAUGUGCUCGCUAGGUCUCACCGGCUGGGGAGGGGACUAGGGUGGAGAUGCCUCCUCUGCGGUCCCCUACACACACGGGAGCCUCGGUCCCAGGCACUUCCACCGCUGAGCACCCCGACUUGAGCCCCGCAGCUAGGGUCCUCUCCCCUCUGCCCCCAGCCUGGCCCUGGGCCGGCAGCAGGGCUUUGGCCACGUGUGGCAGAGGCAGGACUUGCUGAAGCUGAAAGAUUUCCCACACGCUGCCCCGAAAGGGCCCAAACCGGGACAACCAGGGGGACUGAUCCCUGGGGAAGGGAGCCUGGCUUCGGCCACCACCCAACUCCUCCAGGAGGCCCCCCCUGACCGCAGCCCACGGACGCUGCUCCGAGCUCCAGGCCUCGGCUCUGGACCGGGCGGCACCAGGCUGCACGCUGUCAACAAAGGAUGCUCUUCGUGGGACCCCGAGUGCGGCGGUGCUGGAGCGUGCUGUGGGGACGUCCUGCUCCGGUCCGUCCCUCCUGGAUGUUCUCUCUUCCUCACGGUCACCCGGCUUCGGAAUCCCCCAAGGGCGGGGCCUAGACUCCCCUGCUUCUCUGCCCCCUGGCACAGGUGGGCACAGGCUUGCUCGGUCGGCGCCCUGCACACCCUGUGGGGCCAGCCCUGCCAGGGCUCUUGGGCAACCUGGGCAAGCACGAGCAGCUGCUCCUAUAGGAAGGUUGCGUCCUGA
rnacentral:lncRNA from 12 species